rnacentral:misc_RNA from 1 species
GGGGGCAGUUGGCGAUCUGUGGAUGGCGGCUGUCGUAUCGCGUUAUUCUCGUGAUGCGUUGGUGCGUGACGAGGCCGACAGCAUCCGUAUUUAUGCUCGAAUGAGCUAGAUUGUAUAAUGAACUUUUCUGAGGUUUUACACAGAAGCGUAGCAGCCUUCAUCCUUGACGAUAGAAGCAUCAACAUCAACCCAUACAG